UUUGACCUCAAAUCAGGUAGGACUACCCGCUGAACUUAAGCAUAUCAAUAAGCGGAGGAAAAGAAACCAACAGGGAUUGCCUCAGUAGCGGCGAGUGAAGCGGCAAAAGCUCAAAUUUGAAAUCUGGCGUCUUUGGCGUCCGAGUUGUAAUUUGAAGAAGGUAUCUUUGGGCCCGGCUCUUGUCUAUGUUCCUUGGAACAGGACGUCACAGAGGGUGAGAAUCCCGUGCGAUGAGAUGACCCGGGUCUGUGUAAAGUUCCUUCGACGAGUCGAGUUGUUGGGGGAAUGGC
rnacentral:rRNA from 1 species